rnacentral:rRNA from 1 species
GCAUAACGCGAAGAACCUUACCCACCUUUGACAUGUACGGAAUCCUUUAGAGAUAGAGGAGUGCUCGAAAGAGAGCCGUAACACAGGUGCUGCAUGGCUGUCGUCAGCUCGUGUCGUGAGAUGUUGGGUUAAGUCCCGCAACGAGCGCAACCCUUGCCAUUAGUUGCUACAUUUAGUUGAGCACUCUAAUGGGACUGCCGGUGACAAACCGGAGGAAGGUGGGGAUGACGUCAAGUCCUCAUGGCCCUUAUAGGUGGGGCUACACACGUCAUACAAUGGCUGGUACAAAGGGUUGCCAGCCCGCGAGGGGGAGCUAAUCCCAUAAAGCCAGUCGUAGUCCGGAUCGCAGUCUGCAACUCGACUGCGUGAAGUCGGAAUCGCUAGUAAUCGUGGAUCAGGAUGUCACGGUGAAUACGUUCCCGGGUCUUGUACACACCG